rnacentral:rRNA from 1 species
AGUGAACGCUGGCGGUAGGCCUAACACAUGCAAGUCGAACGGCAGCACAGUAAGAGCUUGCUCUUACGGGUGGCGAGUGGCGGACGGGUGAGGAAUACAUCGGAAUCUACUUUUUCGUGGGGGAUAACGUAGGGAAACUUACGCUAAUACCGCAUACGACCUACGGGUGAAAGCAGGGGAUCUUCGGACCUUGCGCGAUUGAAUGAGCCGAUGUCGGAUUAGCUAGUUGGCGGGGUAAAGGCCCACCAAGGCGACGAUCCGUAGCUGGUCUGAGAGGAUGAUCAGCCACACUGGAACUGAGACACGGUCCAGACUCCUACGGGAGGCAGCAGUGGGGAAUAUUGGACAAUGGGCGCAAGCCUGAUCCAGCCAUACCGCGGGGGUGAAGAAGGCCUUCGGGUUGUAAAGCCCUUUUGUUGGGAAAGAAAAGCAGCAGGUUAAUACCCCGCUGUUCGGACGGUACCCAAAGAAUAAGCACCGGCUAACUUCGU